rnacentral:rRNA from 1 species
GGAGUUAGCCGGUGCUUCUUCUGCGAGUAACGUCACAGAUGUAAGGUAUUAACUUACACCCUUUCCUCCUCUCUGAAAGUGCUUUACAACCCGAAGGCCUUCUUCACACACGCGGCAUGGCUGCAUCAGGGUUUCCCCCAUUGUGCAAUAUUCCCCACUGCUGCCUCCCGUAGGAGUCUGGGCCGUGUCUCAGUCCCAGUGUGGCUGAUCAUCCUCUCAGACCAGCUAGGGAUCGUCGCCUAGGUGAGCCUUUACCUCACCUACUAGCUAAUCCCACCUGGGCUUAUCCAUCAGCGCAAGGCCCGAAGGUCCCCUGCUUUCCCCCGUAGGGCGUAUGCGGUAUUAGCAGUCGUUUCCAACUGUUAUCCCCCACAAAUGGGCAAAUUCCCAGGCAUUACUCACCCGUCCGCCGCUCGUCAUCUUCAAAAGCAAGCUUUUGAAAUGUUACCGCUCGACUUGCAUGUGUUAGGCCUGCCGCCAGCGUUCAAUCUGAGCCAUAAUCAAACUCUGA